AGGACCGAACCGACUAAUGUUGAAAAAUUAGCGGAUGACUUGUGGCUGGGGGUGAAAGGCCAAUCAAACCGGGAGAUAGCUGGUUCUCCCCGAAAGCUAUUUAGGUAGCGCCUCGUGAAUUCAUCUCUGGGGGUAGAGCACUGUUUCGGCAAGGGGGUCAUCCCGACUUACCAACCCGAUGCAAACUGCGAAUAGCGGAGAAUGUUAUCACGGGAGACACACGGCGGGUGCUAACGUCCGUCGUGAAGAGGGAAACAACCCAGACCGCCAGCUAAGGUCCCAAAGUCAUGGUUAAGUGGGAAACGAUGUGGGAAGGCCCAGA
rnacentral:rRNA from 1 species